UACGUAGGGUGCGAGCGUUGUCCGGAUUUAUUGGGCGUAAAGAGCUCGUAGGCGGCUCGUCGCGUCGACCGUGAAAACCCGCGGCUUAACUGCGGGCUUGCGGUUGAUACGGGCGGGCUAGAGUUCGGUAGGGGAGACUGGAAUUCCUGGUGUAGCGGUGAAAUGCGCAGAUAUCAGGAGGAACACCGGUGGCGAAGGCGGUUCUCUGGGCAUUACCUGACGCUGAGGAGCGAAAGUGUGGGGAGCGAACAGG
rnacentral:rRNA from 1 species